rnacentral:rRNA from 1 species
UACGAGGGGGGCAAAUGUUGUUCGGAAUCACUGGGCGUAAAGGGAGCGUAGGCGGGUUCUUAAGUAAGGUGUUUAAUCCCGGGGCCCAACCCCGGACCGGCACUUUAAACUGGGAAUCUUGAAUAGUGGAGAGGUCGGUGGAAUUGGGGGUGUAGCGGUGGAAUGCGUAGAGAUGGGGGAGAACACUCGUGGCGAAGGCGGCCAGCUAGACCAAGUUCUGACACUGAGGCGCGACAGCGUGGGGAGCAAACAGGG